AUUGAACGCUGGCGGCAGGCCUAACACAUGCAAGUCGAGUGGUAACAGGAGGCAGUUUGCUGCCUCGCUGACGCGUGGCGGACGGGUGAGAAAUGUCGGUGAAACUCCUUUAUGGAUGGGGUUAAUUACUGGAACCGGUGGCUAAUCCCGCAUAACUACUCAAGCCCAAGGAGCGGUACUUUAAGGCCUUUUUCCUGUCGAUGAUAGCUGGUUCCAGAUCGGAUUAGCUAGUUGGACAGGUAACGGCUUACCUAGGCGACGAUUCGUAGCCGAUCUGAGAGGAUGACCGGCCACACUGGAACUGAGACACGGUCCAGACUCCUACGGGAGGCAGCAGUGGGGAAUCUUGCACAAUGGGCGAAAGCCUGAUGGAGCCAUGCCGCGUGUAUGAAGAAGGUCUUCGGAUUGUAAAGUACUUUCAGCAGGGAAGAAGGAAGUAGAGAGAAUACAUGUGCUUAUUGACGUUACCCGCAGAGGAAGCCCCGGCUAACUCCGUG
rnacentral:rRNA from 1 species